UACCAGACUCCUACGGGAGGCAGCAGUGGGGAAUAUUGCACAAUGGGGGAAACCCUGAUGCAGCGACGCCGCGUGAGUGAAGAAGUGAUUCGUUAUGUAAAGCUCUAUCAGCAGGGAAGAAAAUGACGGUACCUGACUAAGAAGCCCCGGCUAACUACGUGCCAGCAGCCGCGGUAAUACGUAGGGGGCAAGCGUUAUCCGGAUUUACUGGGUGUAAAGGGAGCGUAGACGGCAGCGCAAGUCUGGAGUGAAAUGCCGGGGCCCAACCCCGGAACUGCUCUGGAAACUGUGAAGCUGGAGUGCAGGAGAGGUAAGCGGAAUUCCUGGUGUAGCGGUGAAAUGCGUAGAUAUCGCGCAGAACUCCGAUUGCGAAGGCAGCAUGCCGGCUCCACACUGACGCUGAGGCACGAAAGCGUGGGUAUCGAACAGGAUUAGAUACCCCGGUAU
rnacentral:rRNA from 1 species